CCUGGUGGCUUAGAGGGUAAAAGCAUAUGCCUGCAAUGCAGGAGACCCGGGUUCGAUCCCUGGGUCAGGA
rnacentral:tRNA from 1 species